GCUACGAUGAUAGACAAACAAAUCGAUUAAUACAAAUAAUUUCACAAAACAUUUAAAUCACCAUCUUGUGACGUGGUGUCAUACAGAGUAUAAGCUUUAGUGUAGUGAGCUACGUAAAGCCAAUCUUCAAAGUGGCACGCCCGUCAUUCUGACAAUGGAGUUUCCAUACCAGUACUGUCACCGGGAGGUGCGACCCUGUACAUGGCAACAAGCAUUAGAGUUUGAAAAGUGAAAAAAUGGCAAUCGUACCUGCAACAAAGGUUUACCAUUUUAUUUAUAUUUCCUUGCUUUAAUAACGUUAUGGUUGUUUCAUCAUGAAGUAUGUUAUCUUAUAGUCUGCAGUCAAGCCAUGAAUACCAGAGAGCAUAUCAAAAGGAUUACCACCUGAUGUCAGAAGACGUCAGAGGCACACACAAUGAAGAGGAAAUAUGCAGAUGAAUUAAACCAAUUCAGUACUGCCCACCUCCUUAGCCAACAGGACAACACUUCUGCCAGACCCAUGGGAUGCUGAGUGGACUGCUGAGUGACACAUGGCGUUAAAGUUCCUGGCCCCAGUUGUGUUCUUGGGAGCAUAAGUGAAGACCCGCUGGUGAAGAUUCUCACAUUUGUUGGUUGUGGCGAGUUGGCAGACCUUCUCUCCAGAAUUGUUUACAGAUGACAGACUGAAUACUGUCCAUGUCUGCAUAGUCAAGGUCCAGAUGUUUUCCGUGUGGAAGGAACUUGGUGCUGUAGCCCGUGAGAUGGGCUGUGCAGGGUUCUUAGCUUGUGGAUGAAGCAGUGCUGAAUUGGUACUUCAUUCUCUCUAGAAUAGUCCCUUAUGGUCUUUUGGAUCUGAGCACUGGCAUCACUGGUAAUGGAACAAGGUUGAACAUAACUUAUUGGCAGUUUGGAGGGCCAAAACCAGUUUUCGGGAGGUGUUGUUUUCCACCGAAGCUCUGGGUUGCUGCCUCGAAUCCUGGCUGUGGCCUGUUGUUGUAAGAGGUGUCAGUCUCGAUGUGGACUUCGUUUCCUCGACCGAGAAAUUGGUUGACACGUCAGACAUACCGCUGAUUGUCGAUCAUCGAGGCUACGUUGAUUUCCUCCACUCUGUCACACAUCUGAUUGAGUUUCCGCUGCAGACCACGGCUGUCAGGUGGAUUUAUGUUGAGGCAGCACAUAAGGAAACGUGCAUCAGACACUCCCAUCUUAGACUUGGUGAGAGCCAGUACCAGUCCAUCAUUGAGGGCACUUGAUUCCGGUCCUCAAGUCUUCUUGACAGUUGUGUAGAGCUGCAUGUCUGGCUUGGCAGGUCGCAGUUUGGUUGGGAGGAUGAGAUCUUCAGUGGACAUACACACAGCAUCCCAGUAUUCAUCAAGACUUAUACGGUCCCACUCUGUGUUUUGGUCACAUGUACUCGAACUAGCAGGUGCAUCAACGUCUCGGAGGGCACCAGCUCGGGCGUCAGAAUGCUGAGGGAAAUAGGUCACAUUUUCAAGGUUUUUCAUAAAGGAAAAUACAAUGAAGAAGAUUCAGACAUCAUCACGUGGAUCAGUUAAAUUAAAGGAGGAAGAGAGACCCAUUCUCUACUACAGUAAACGUUACAAUUACCUUUUGGAAGAGGAUAGAAAAGAAAUUGUGAAAACACUUCUGCUUCUGAGAGUAAUGGAAAAUCGAGCAAGAACAAAAAAGAAAACCUAAAUAGUGUUAUAGAUUUUUUUAGAGUCAAUUUUCUAGGACUGGUCAUAGCUAGUUUAGACAAGAUAAUAUGCAAUUUUUUGAAUUGAUAAAUGAUGACUUAAUUGAAUUUAUUAAUUCAUAUGGAAAUUAAUACAUUGGAAACAAUGGCAGCUUAUUGUGAAUGUUAUUUAUAAUUCAAAAUGCAUUGUGUCUACCUGAUUUGAAAAAAUGCAUUGUGUAUGCUUUUUGAGCACUCAUCAUUGUUUUAUACAUUUUUAGGUGUCGUGAGUCACCCGUGACCUAUUUUUGCAAUUGGCAGUCAUCCUUCGGGUGUUAACAAUAGAACAUUUUUAAUUUCUUCUUGAUAGCUACUCUCCCAAUUCUUUUCAAAUUUGAUAUAGAACAUUUUUGGGACAAGGGGGACAUAAAUUGUAAAUUUUAGGACCCAUGAACCCCUGUGGCCAUAAGGGUGGGUGGGCCAAAAAUUGACCAGCUUUCAAAAAUCAUCUUCUUUACAAGCACACAUCUGUAAGAAAAACCAAAUACAUAGUGAUGUAGAGGAGGAUGGUCUACACUAAACAUAAAUUUCCUGAUUCUCGGGCUAGAGGUUCUGACAUUAAGAUAGGGCAUACUCAGGUGACCAAUAAGGCUUUUGGGCCUCUUGUUUUUAUUUCUUUUUAAAUUCCCUGAGUUUUACUGAUGGAAAUUAGUUCUUUGGCUGUGCUUGUCAACUUUUCACAUUUUCUUCUUUUUCUGCUGAACAAGAAGGCUAAUUUCAGCCAAACAUCCAAAAUUCAGGGAAUCUAGCAUCAUUCAGCUAUGUGCCAGUGAUGGUUUCCCGAAACGGGAUAAGUUUUUGAAAUAAUGAAAUUAAGUAAUAGUGAUUUUAAAAUUGUAGUACUUAGAUAUCAGUUAAUUCAAAUGAUGGCACUACAGUAAUGAUAGGGUGUACAUAAGAAUAUUAGAGAUGUUUGGCUUAGUAGUAUAUGAAGGUUCUUGUUAUAUUGAUUGGAAAAAAAAAUGAAGCACUGAAGGUUUAAUCUUGCAUUUUCAUUAUCAUAAACAAAAAGUGAGAUGGGGCCAACCAGCCAAU